GUUUAUAUAGUUUAAAAAAAACAUUACAUUUUCAUUGUAAAAACAAAAUCCAUCUUUUUUAUAAAUU
rnacentral:tRNA from 1 species